GUUCAAACGAAUAGUUCUCCUAUCCGAUGCAAUUGUCAUAUUACGUAUCUAUUCCAAAAUGUCGCGAUAAAUACCCGCUACAUUCUAAAAAAACGUUAACAAAGAUAUCACUGAUCACCGUACACCGAUAAUGGCUACGAUAGAUCCUUGACCAGACGAAGAAAACAUGAACACAUAAGCACUAUGAAAGGAACAAUGGCGAUAGCCAAUAUAAAGCAACGAAUGAAGAGGGCUCUGAUGAUGCAAUGAAGAAAAUACUUGAUUUGCUGAACAUGAAAGGAAAAACAGAAAGCAAUCUAUAAUCGACCUAAAAUUGUCUCAAAGAUGUCGACAUCGUUGCAUACUUCUCAGCUACUUUAGCAAUCUCUUGAGCUUGAAUGCCAACAAUAUUGCCUACUGCCGUUACGCUUAAACGAGUCUAAAUGAAUAAAAUAUUAUAUAAAGAAAUAAUUAAUAUUAUUUAAUUAAUAUCGAUUAUAAUAAUAUAAUU